AGUGAACGCUGGCGGUAGGCCUAACACAUGCAAGUCGAACGGCAGCACAGUAAGAGCUUGCUCUUACGGGUGGCGAGUGGCGGACGGGUGAGGAAUACAUCGGAAUCUACUUUUUCGUGGGGGAUAACGUAGGGAAACUUACGCUAAUACCGCAUAUGACCUACGGGUGAAAGCAGGGGAUCUUCGGACCUUGCGCGAUUGAAUGAGCCGAUGUCGGAUUAGCUAGUUGGCGGGGUAAAGGCCCACCAAGGCGACGAUCCGUAGCUGGUCUGAGAGGAUGAUCAGCCGCACUGGAACUGAGACACGGUCCAGACUCCUACGGGAGGCAGCAGUGGGGAAUAUUGGACAAUGGGCGCAAGCCUGAUCCAGCCAUACCGCGUGGGUGAAGAAGGCCUUCGGGUUGUAAAGCCCUUUUGUUGGGAAAGAAAAGCAGCAGGUUAAUACCCCGCUGUUCUGACGGUACCCAAAGAGUAAGCACCGGCUAACUUCGUG
rnacentral:rRNA from 1 species